GCGCACGCACUCAGACACACACACACACACACACACAGGUAUAAAACCACAUCAUCUUUUCUUCACUUAUGCCUCUAUCAGUGGACUCGUAGGUUAUUUUUUCAUAGCUUCUUGAUGUGGAUAUUUUUGAUGUUUCAGCCUUUCUUCUUUUCUAGUAUGGGCUGUGGCAGGCACAGACAAGCCUUCAAGAAAAAGCCGCCCCCCCCCUGCCAUCAGCCUCUGGCAGUCACCUCCCUCAGGUCUGCUCCAGUUUCAAGCCAAGGUACUGAGACAGAUGUGUUAAAAUCUCCAAUUAUUCGACACAAAUCCCUGCACGUGAAUGUUUACAGCAGCUUUAUUCAUAAUUGUCAAAACUUGGACGCAACCAAGAUGUCUUUCAGUGGGCGAAUGGUAAGUAAACUGUGGUCCAGGCAGAGAAUGGGGUAGUACUCAGUGCUAAAUAUAAAUGAACUAUGAAGCCAUGAAAGACUUGGGGGAAACUUAAAUACAUUUUACUAAGUGAAAGAAGCCAAUCUAAAACGGCUACAUACAGUAUGAUUCCAACUACACGACACUCUGGGAAAGGCAAAAAACUCUGGAGCGGGAAGAAGAUCAGUGAUUGCCGGGCAUUGGAGGGGAGGCAGGAUGAAGGGGGAGAACACAGGGGGCCUGGGGGACGGUGGAACUGCUCUGUAUGGUGCUCUGUAAAUGGUACUUGUCACUACACGUUUGUCCAGACCAUAGACUGUGCAGCACCGAGGGUGACCUCUGAUGGAGGCAGUGGGCUUUGGGGGAUGGUGACGCAUCAGUGGCAUUGUCAGUUGUAACGGGUGUUCCCCUCCGGUGCGGGACGUUGAUGAUAUGGGAGGCUUUGCUUGUGUGCAGCAGGGGGAUAUAUGAGAAAUCCCUUUACUUUGUUUCAGCUUUGCUAUAAACCUAAAACUGCUCUAAGAAAUAAAGUCUAUUUUCAGACAGUCAAAGAAGGGAGAGUUGGCUGGGAAGGAGUUGAAAGGAGCUCUUGUGGGGCAGGCAAUUGAAACAUGACCCUCUGAAAAGCUGGGCGGCCAGCCUGGUUGUGAGCAGACAGCAGGAUGGCGAUGUGGCUAAGUCUUCGGCUGCGUGGUUGCCUCGGGUUCUUUGCCACCAGGUGAGAACAUGGAGAUCAGAGGUGACUUAUUGUCUUAUUUACACAUAAAACGUAGGGGAAAACCAUUUCUACACUUAGCUGGAAAUGCUCAUAAGAGACAUGAUCUCUCAACAAACAGUUGCGGAUCUGGGGGUUAGAAAUGAGCCCAGAAGGGCUACAGAAAGGCUAUUUCAGCCAGUUAACAAAAUCCAAGGAAAUAACUUGUGUUCGAGUUGGGGAAGGUUGUGUCUCUCCAGAUCUGCAGAGCAUUAGCUGGGAUCGGGCUCAGGAACCGGCUCAGGAAGACACGCAUACACCCGUGUACACACAUGCACACGCACGCUUGCGUACCUGCACGGACACACACACUGCAAACACACACGCAUGACUAAGCACUUAACACAAGUUGGAGAAUUCUGGCAAGUGAGUCAUUGGAUUUUGUUUUUCACUCCAGCCCUUCCUCUUAGAUCUGGAGGUAACAGGUGUUCAUCAGAAAACAUUGGAAAGUCCAGAAAAAUCAUCCACAAUGCUACUUCCUAGUAACAAACAGUGGCGACAGUUGGCACAUUUUUUUCUUUGCACGUGUUAAAUACAGAUCAGCUUGGACAAGCAGUUACACUCAGCCCUGCUUUUCUCUCCCACUUAACACAUCUGUAUUCUGUAUAUCCCGUGUUUCUAAAUAGUAUUUUCAUCAUGACGAUACAUUCUUUCAUGUGGGUGGUUCACAGUUUCCCCAGUGCUCUCUCAUUAGACAUCGAAGUUGUUACAGUUUUUCCAAUAAUAAAAUGAGUCACUGCGGUCAGCUCUCCCUGUGUCCUCUGUCUUGGUUGCCUUCAGUUUCGGGUGUCAGUGAAGUCCCUGAAAGGCUUGAGUUCAGUCCUCAGUCUGUUGUGACCCUGACACUCUCCAUGGGGUUUCCCACCUCCAGC